GUUAUCUACCAGAUAUCUAAAUUUACCCUACCCUUCCAAGAAAUUGGAACCUAAAUGUUUAGGUCCCAAUUUCUUGGUAGGGUAGGGUAAAUUUAGAUAUCUGGUAGAUAACCAGACAA